rnacentral:rRNA from 1 species
AUGUCCCUACGGGAGGCAGCAGUGGGGAAUAUUGCACAAUGGGGGAAACCCUGAUGCAGCAAUGCCGCGUGAGUGAAGAAGGUUUUCGGAUUGUAAAGCUCUGUUAGCAGGGAAGAGGAAGGACGGUACCUGCAGAGGAAGCCACGGCUAACUACGUGCCAGCAGCCGCGGUAAUACGUAGGUGGCAAGCGUUGUUCGGAAUAACUGGGCGUAAAGGAUGCGUAGGCGGGUAAAAAAGUUAUAUGUUAAAUAUAUAGGCUUAACCU